UACGGGGGGAGCAAGCGUUGUUCGGAUUUACUGGGCGUAAAGGGCUCGUAGGCGGUCUGUUGCGUCGGGAGUGAAAACUUACAGCUUAACUGUGAGCGUGCUUUCGAUACGGGCAGACUUGAGGCAUUCAGGGGAGAACGGAAUUCCUGGUGUAGCGGUGAAAUGCGCAGAUAUCAGGAGGAACACCGGUGGCGAAGGCGGUUCUCUGGGAAUGUCCUGACGCUGAGGAGCGAAAGCCAGGGGAGCAAACGGG
rnacentral:rRNA from 1 species